UCCAGCAGGAUCUUGUACUCCUGGUUCUGCUGCUCCAUCUCGCAGCAGAGCUGGGCCAGCUGCUCCUCCACACUGCCAAUCAUCUCCUGGAUUUGGGCCAGCUGCACACAGUAGCGGCCUUUGGUCUCCUCCAGGCUGUUCUCCAGGGAUGCUUUCUGUGAGGGAGGGAAAGGGAAUCAAGGAUUAGUGAGUGUGGCCAUUCUCUCCCUGCCAGUUCUGGGUGCACCACCGGGCCUGGCACCAUUCCUAACAUGCUGAGCUGGGACUGCAGCUCAAUCUCCAGGUUCUGCAUGGUGUGCCAGAGCUCCGAAAUCUCGCUCUUGCCGCUCUGCACCAGCUCGCUGUUGGUGGCCACCUCGUGGUUCAGCUUCUCUGUCUGCAAAAAAGAGAACACCAUUCACACCAGAAGUCCCCAGAAGGCAGGUGGUCUGGGUUCCUUCCACCUCAAAUGACACCCACCUUAGUGAAGAACCGUUCCUCUGCGUCCUUGUGGUUCUUCUCUGCCAUCUUCUCGUACUGGUCACGCAUCUCGUUCAGAAUGUGGCUCAGGUCCACACCAGGUGCAUCGUCCAUCUCCACAUUGACAUCUCCACCCACCUGGCCUCUCAGGGCAUUCAUCUCCUGCACUGCCAGGGACAGUCCACAGUCAGGAGUUCCACCACGGCAGCAGAUUGGGGUUCCUUAGUCAGGCCUGAAUACUGCCCUCCCAGAAUCACAAUUCUAUCUUGACUCUCCCUUCCCUCUCUCUCUCUCUUUUUUUUUUUUUUUUUGACAGGGUCUAGCCUUGUUGCCCAGGCUGGACUCAAACUCCUGUGUUCAAGUGAUCCUCCCAUCUCAGCCUCCCAAGUAGCUGGGACUAUGGGCAUGCACCACCGUACCCAGUCUCCCUGCGCUUCUUUUAAGCUGGCUUUUCCAUAUAGUUCUCACCUCCUCAUGGUUCUUCUUCAGUUAGGCCAGCUCCUCCUUCAGGCUCUCAAUCUGCAUCUCCAGGUCAGCUCUGGCCAGGGUCAGUUCGUCCAGCACCCCAGCACCUGGCGCAUGCCAUUGAUGUCGGCCCCCACACUCAUGCGCAGGUUCAACUCUGUCUCAUACCUGGAAUGACCCCAGAGAAAAGGAAUGAUACACCCAUCCUGACCACAGUGAGGGCUUUGUUCUCUUCUCCCUGCAGCUUCUCCCAGAGCUGGUGCCUUGUGGGUGGUUUAAGGAGCCAAUCUUGAAAAUGGCAUGGUUGAACACAGUGCCCAUUGAUUGCUCAGAUAUGAACAUUCCUGGGGCCUGGGGAUGAGGCAGUUCAUCUUGCUGCAGAAUUCAGGAGGGGGUUGCGCUUCUAGCUUCAGCCAACAAAUAAUGCAUAAGUCCUCCAACUAUGAUUCCCUCCUAUACUUCAAGGGCAGCUGGGGAAGUGGAAAGUGCCUCUCCCUAAAGCAGCAGUUCUGAAACCUGGCUGUGGACCAGAAUCUCCCAGCUAACCUGCUAUAAAUAGCUGAAUCAAAACUCCAAGGGUGGGGCCCAAGAGUCUUAUUCUUUUAUAAGCACCCCAGGGAGUUUUCAUGCAGCUAUUCUGGCACUGGCUAGUUCUAUUUGGGAAACACUGCUCAAAAAAUGCCCUACUUUGGGGACACUGGAUGUUCUGGCCCACCACUGCAAACUCGCUUGGUGCGGAAGUCAUCUGCGGCCAGACGGGCGUUGUCAAUCUGCAGAAGGACAUUGGCAUUGUCCACUGUGGCCGUGAGGAUCUGCAGGAUGGAAAGGGCACAGGUAAUUUGUCAAAUGGACUUCACAAGCUGGACUUCACUGUAACCUACAUUAAGCUCUUGCUUCAUGUUCUUGCCUGAAUUCCCCUUUCCCCCCACAAAACUUGACCAUAGCAGCCUAAAGGAAAACAGAUGCCCCAGGCCUGUCCUAAGACUUUGCUAACUCAUGGUCAACAGAGGGGGUAGAUGCAGCCCCGGGCUUAGAAUCAAAAGCCCAGGAGUUCUGGUCGCAAUUCUGCCACUGACUUGCUGCAAAACCUAAUGGGUCUUGGGGCUUCAAGUUCCCCACCUCCAAGUGAGGAGAAUAAUCUGAGGCUCCCUAGCCCUCCUUCCUGAGCUGGCCUCUCUUCUCUCUGCAACAGCCAGCCCUGCCAGUCCUCUGCAGAGAUGCACAUUCCUUUUCAAGCUCACGGGCCAUGGGACUUCAAAUGGAACUUUCUCAAGAGAUAAAACCCAACUGACACAGGGGAUUAGAAAAGAGGACUCGGGGGAAGAAUAAGAAGAUAUAUUGGCCCCUGAGUCUGACUGGAGUUCCCCACAUCAUCAUUGAAUUUCCCUAAUCCAUGCAAGGCAUUAGAGCCCAGCAGACUCCCGCAGGGAGGGCUCCCAGGUGAUGUGGGAGCAGGGGGGAGGGGGCUGGAGACAGGGCACAAGCCUGCCAGGCUCCCUUUGUGCAGGGCACGUCAAGGGGCCACACUGAUUGUCUCUGCAGGCUCUCCAUGCCUGCCUGGCUGUGGGGAGGGACCAGACUGUACCAAGGCUUAUGGGCGGCGGCAGCCACAGCCCAGACUAGUGAGCUAAUGAGCGGUUUGGAUGUCUUGCCUGGUCCCGUUAGAGCCUCGCUCCUCCCCUGUGCUGGAAGGUAGGACACAAGGGACCCAGCCUUGGCUCUGCCAUUAAUUUGCUAUGUGACCUGCAGCUGGUCACAGCACCUCUCAAAGCUUCAACUGCUUCCUCUGUAAAAUGUAAGGACAGGAAUCACUGAUCUCACUUGAUCUGAGGAUUUGACAUCAGAAGGGGAUGAGCAGGCUGGAGAAGGAGAGAGCAUCCUCUCACUGAUCAGCUCUUAGGGCAUCCAAGACCUCGAAAGAAGGGAUCUGGGGUGGGCUCUGUCCUAUGGAGAAAUCUUAAGGUGUCAGUGUCCUGGGGCAUCUAUUGUUCCCAGAAGGAGCUAGCUGGAAUGGCACCUUCUGCUGCCCAUUCACCCACCUUGUUCCUCAGAUCCUCGAUGGUCUUGAAGUAGGGACUGUAGUCUUUGAUCUUAGCAGGCCGCUGCCACUGGUACCAGUCAUGGAUCUUCACCUCCAGGUCAGCGUUGGCCUCCUCCAGGGCACGCACCUUGUCCAGGUAGGAGACCAGGCUGUCGUUGAGGUUCUGCAUGGUCACCUUCUCACUGCCCACCAGAAGGCCAUCACCACCAGCAAAGCCACCACCCAAGCCACCACCGAAGCCAGCACCAAGGCCACCACCAUAUCCUCCUCCAAAGCCACUACCGAAGCUGCUGCUGCUGCUGAAGCCACCGCCAUAGCCGCCCCCCAGCCUGUAGGUGCUGGGGGCGCGGCACGACCCUCCGGCCAGGACGGAGGAGAUGUGGCUGGAGCCGCCCCCGAUGCC
rnacentral:lncRNA from 1 species